rnacentral:lncRNA from 1 species
GUUCCAUUGUGAGCCUGUUAAGGAGCUCACUCUUUACCAGCUUCUGGUGGGAAGCAGGGAGGAGGAAGUGGAAAGAGCCUUACAGCUCACAAGCUAAAGGAGAUAUCUCAGGCUUGUAAUCAUCAUCAUCAUCACCGUCACCGUCAUCAUCACCGUCACCGUCAUCAUCACCACCAUCAUCAUCACCACCGUCACCAUCAUCAUCAUUGUCAUCAUCAUCAUCAUCAUCAUCAUCAUCACCAUCGUCAUCAUCAUCUCUGCCACAGGGGAGGGGCUGGUAUUUGCUAAGGUGGGGUAUUACCUCUUUGUCCCCAAAACCACUAUACCUGUCUUCCCCAGAUCAAGCACAUCUUUUUAUAAGGGUCCCGGGAGCAUUGAAAUGCAGCACAUCAUCAGGGAACCAUGACAGGUGAUGCUAUUUAGCUCAUGCCUCACCUUUUGCCACCCAGUGGUGGGUAGAGGAAGAAGGGAUGCGACAAGACCUUAGCACUCAGGGUUUUGCAAAGGGUCCCAUGAAAAAAUCUCUUCACUGCUGUCAUUCCUGACAUCUCUCCAGUCCCUUGUCAUGUGGCUCCACAGUCCCUUCCUAAGACCAUCAUUUUUCACUUGGGACACCGAUCCCCAUGUGAUAAGGUGCCUCCUUGAAUCUUCUAGAGCCUGUCACCUCCAUCGUCAGUUGGAUGACAGUGGAGUCCUCUUCUACCUAAGCUCUGUAAGGCUCAGAGGGGAGCAAUGGGUGGGCAGGAGGAUGGUGGGUAUUGCAUCCUCUGGUUGGUAGUUUUGCAAGGGAGAUGUGCUUUUACCAUAGCCAACUAGAGCCAAACUAGUCAUGAGAAAUGUAGAUUCUGCUAUGGGCUAAUCCAAUGGAAGGUUUGAGUUAGUGGUGGUUGAGAUAAAAGGGAUUAUAGAAGUGGAAGGCUGGAUAAUUCAGCCCCUUACCUCCUUAAAAGCUCUCUACCUCCUCCUUAAUCUCACUUCCGACGUACAAACAUCAGGGUAUUGAGCCAAGAAAUUCAUAGAAAACACAAAGGGCCAAGAACAGAUGAAAAUACACCUAACCUCACUUAAUAACAAAAAUGCAAAUUCAAAUGAGACAACAAGAAUUCCAGGAAACUAACCUAUGGAAAAAAAUAAGUACAAAAAGAUGUAUACAUGAGGACAUUUAUUGCAAUGUUGUUUGUAGUAGGGAAUAACUGGCAACAAAUAUACAUGAAUAAGUGAAUGAUUAAAUAUAUUAUGGGGCUGGGAGCAGUGGCUCAUGCCUGUAAUCCCAGCACUUUGGGAGGCUGAGGCCGGCAGAUUGUUUGAAGCCAGGAGUUUGAGACCAGCCUGGGCAGCGUAGCAAAACCCUGUCUCUACAAAAAAUACAAAAGUUAGAGGUUGCUGUGAGCUGUGGUCAUGUCACUGCAUUUCAACCUGGGCAACAGCAGUAUCUGUCUCAAAAAAAUGUAUUAUGAGUCAUCUAUGUAAUGAAUACUAUAGUAGGCAUUAAAACAAUAGGUUGGCUUUAAAUUUCCCGAGGAAAAAAAAUGUACUUGCGACAUUAAAAAACAAGAUGCAGAACAAUUUGUAUGUUUCCGUUUGUGCAAAAGAAUUCUCUGUGGAGUCUGUGUGUAAAAAAGAGUGGAUGGAUACAUACCUAACUUAGGAUGCAUCUCAGAAGUGAGAUUAAGUAGGAGGACAUAGGGGAGCUAUAAUUUUUACUUUGUACAUGGUUUAUUAUUUGAACUUUUGUAAUAAAAAAUCCUAAA